AUUGCCCAGGACAGCUGCCUUGGCCGCGGGACAAUCCUGGGGAAACCUGGACAAGUGGCAGCCCUACCCCUCUGCACACACCUACGCACAUACACCCCUACCACACACUCCAAGGACACUGUCACCUCCCCCCAUUGGAAAAAUGUUCAUAUUCAAACAUUCCCUUCCAACAUCAUCACCUUCCAUGCACACAAGUCACCUGCCCCCUUCCACACAGUGAUCUUCCCCUCUGGCCCCAGUCACCUUCCCACCAGCAUGUCACUUCUCUUUUGCAACAGUCUGUCACUUCCCCACCUAAUACACAAACAGCUGCUCCCCCUUUCCAACACAACUCACCCUCCUUCCCUGGACAAUCACCUGUUCCCUUAAAACUCCUCACCCAUACUUGCCUGCCCCCUUCAAAAAUUAUCAUCUCCCCCCUACAAAUCAUCCAUUGCAACACCAUUACCUCUCCCUCAUAAAUAAUCAGCUCCCCUCCAACACUAUCCAUCUUUCCCAAGCAGACAGAAAAACAGUUCUCCCCCACCCCCAGCACUGUCCCACAAUAGACACAGUCACGUGCCCCCUUCCAACACAGUCAUUUUCGCCUCAUGGACACGGUCAAUCACCAUUGCACACACCUACACACUCCCUCUCUUGAACACCAUCACCCUCCAGCACACCUCCCCUCCAUCCCCAGACACUGCAACACCUAUGAACUGUCUCUCACAUACCUUUUCCACCUUAAACUAUGCCACCACAACACACACACCUCCUCUCAUGAGACUGCCACACCCCAAUGCAGGAUUUAUCCUUUGUACAUAAAGACUACAGUAUUAUACAGCUAUUGCCACAAAACACUUCACUAACAUUUGCAUGCUGAAGCAUUUUGGGCUGUUACUGGGGACUUACAAAAAAUAGGAGCAGGAUAUGGCGUGCUGGGUGAUGGGAGGAGAAGCAGAGGAAAAGAGCAGAAGCGGUGGAGAACAUUACAUGACACAUCCUCCACCCAAGCAGCGUGCAGCCUUCUGUGGACUGAUCACCCAUUGAUACACCAUUCAAUUUCUGAAUUGGAACAGCUUCAACAAUGGGUCAGCGAGAAAGAGAACACACAUGCAAAUGACUCUGUAGCCUGGUUGUUAGAGCGCUCACAUGCAAGGAACACACCACAUGUUACUACCUAGAAGUUACCUGCAACUCUAUUCUUGACGUGAUCUUUGCAUACCUGUUUGGGACGACCUAUGUGGUGGUGUUGCUUCACGUCUAGCCAAAUCCCAAGCUAAGCAAAUUGAUU